rnacentral:rRNA from 1 species
UGGGGAAUAUUGCACAAUGGGCGAAAGCCUGAUGCAGCAACGCCGCGUGAGCGAAGAAGGUCUUCGGAUCGUAAAGCUCUGUCCUUGGGAAGAUAAUGACGGUACCCUUGGAGGAAGCCCCGGCUAACUACGUGCCAGCAGCCGCGGUAAUACGUAGGGGGCAAGCGUUAUCCGGAAUUAUUGGGCGUAAAGAGUGCGUAGGUGGUUACCUAAGCAGGGGGUGAAAGGCAAUGGCUUAACCAUUGUUAGCCCCCUGAACUGGGCUACUUGAGUGCAGGAGAGGAAAGCGGAAUUCCUAGUGUAGCGGUGAAAUGCGUAGAUAUUGCGCAGAACUCCGAUUGCGAAGGCAGCGUACUAUUCUCCAACUGACGCUGAGGCACGAAAGCGUGGGUAUCGAACAGGAUUAGAUACCCUGGUAGU